rnacentral:rRNA from 1 species
GACGAACGCUGGCGGCGUGCUUAACACAUGCAAGUCGAACGGAAAGGCCCUGCUUUUGUGGGGUGCUCGAGUGGCGAACGGGUGAGUAACACGUGAGUAACCUGCCCUUGACUUUGGGAUAACUUCAGGAAACUGGGGCUAAUACCGGAUAGGAGCUCCUGCUGCAUGGUGGGGGUUGGAAAGUUUCGGCGGUUGGGGAUGGACUCGCGGCUUAUCAGCUUGUUGGUGGGGUAGUGGCUUACCAAGGCUUUGACGGGUAGCCGGCCUGAGAGGGUGACCGGCCACAUUGGGACUGCGAUACGGCCCAGAAUGCUACGGGAGGCAGCAGUGGGGAAUAUUGCACAAUGGGCGGAAGCCUGAUGCAGCAACGCCGCGUGCGGGAUGACGGCCUUCGGGUUGUAAACCGCUUUCGCCUGUGACGAAGCGUGAGUGACGGUAAUGGGUAAAGAAGCACCGGCUAACUACGUG